rnacentral:rRNA from 1 species
GAGUUUGAUCCUGGCUCAGGACGAACGCUGGCGGCAUGCCUAACACAUGCAAGUCGAACGGAGAUACCGGAGCUUGCUCUGGUAUCUUAGUGGCGGACGGGCGAGUAACGCGUGAGUAACCUGCCCUUCAGAGGGGGAUAACGACUGGAAACGGCCGCUAAUACCGCAUAACACAGCGGAGCCGCAUGGUUCUGCUGUCAAAGGAGCAAUCCGCUGAGGGAUGGACUCGCGUCCGAUUAGCUAGUUGGUGGGAAACGGCCCACCAAGGCGACGAUCGGUAGCCGAACUGAGAGGUUGAUCGGCCGCAUUGGGACUGAGACACGGCCCAGACUCCUACGGGAGGCAGCAGUGGGGGAUAUUGCACAAUGGGGGAAACCCUGAUGCAGCAAUGCCGCGUGA